rnacentral:rRNA from 1 species
UAGGGAAUCUUCGGCAAUGGGGGCAACCCUGACCGAGCAACGCCGCGUGAGUGAAGAAGGUUUUCGGAUCGUAAAGCUCUGUUGUAAGUCAAGAACGAGUGUGAGAGUGGAAAGUUCACACUGUGACGGUAGCUUACCAGAAAGGGACGGCUAACUACGUGCCAGCAGCCGCGGUAAUACGUAGGUCCCGAGCGUUGUCCGGAUUUAUUGGGCGUAAAGCGAGCGCAGGCGGUUUGAUAAGUCUGAAGUUAAAGGCUGUGGCUCAACCAUAGUUCGCUUUGGAAACUGUCAAACUUGAGUGCAGAAGGGGAGAGUGGAAUUCCAUGUGUAGCGGUGAAAUGCGUAGAUAUAUGGAGGAACACCGGUGGCGAAAGCGGCUCUCUGGUCUGUAACUGACGCUGAGGCUCGAAAGCGUGGGGAGCGAACAGGAUUAGAUACCCUGGUAGUCCACGCCGUAAACGAUGAGUGCUAGGUGUUGGAUCCUUUCCGGGAUUCAGUGCCGCAGCUAACGCAUUAAGCACUCCGCCUGGGGAGUGCGACCGCAAGGUUG